rnacentral:rRNA from 1 species
AUUGAACGCUGGCGGCAUGCUUUACACAUGCAAGUCGAACGGCAGCACGGGUGCUUGCACCUGGUGGCGAGUGGCGGACGGGUGAGUAAUGUAUCGGAACAUAUCCGGAAGUGGGGGAUAACGUAGCGAAAGUUACGCUAAUACCGCAUAUGCCCUGAGGGGGAAAGGAGGGGAUCGUAAGACCUUUCGCUUUCGGAGUGGCCGAUAUCAGAUUAGCUAGUUGGUGAGGUAAAGGCUCACCAAGGCGACGAUCUGUAGCUGGUCUGAGAGGACGAACAGCCACAGUGGGACUGAGAAACGGCCCAGACUCCUACGGGAGGCAGCAGUGGGGAAUUUUGGACAAUGGGGGAAACCCUGAUCCAGCCAUGCCGCGUGAGUGAAGAAGGCCUUCGGGUUGUAAAGCUAUUUCGGACAGAAAGAAAUAGCAUUUACUAAUACUAAGUGUGGAUGACGGUACUGUAAGAAGAAGCACCGGCUAACUACGUGCCAGCAGCCGCGGUAACAC